rnacentral:rRNA from 1 species
CCACCUACCUCUCCCACACUCUAGAAAAGUAGUUUCAAAUGCAGUUCAGUAGUUAAGCUACAGGAUUUCACAUCUGACUUACUUUCCCGCCUACGCACUCUUUACGCCCAGUGAUUCCGAGUAACGCUUGCACCCUCCGUAUUACCGCGCCCUGCUGGCACGGAGUUAGCCGGUGCUUAUUCGUUAGAUACCGUCAUAAUCUUCUCUAACAAAAGGAGUUUACAAUCCUAAAACCUUCAUCCUCCACGCGGCGUUGCUGCUUCAGGCUUUCGCCCAUUGAGCAAUAUUCCCUACUGCUGCCUCCCGUAGGAGUCUGGACCGUGUCUCAGUUCCAGUGUGUCCGAUCACCCUCUCAGGCCGGAUACCCGUCAUAGCCUUGGUGAGCCUUUAC